CAUCUUUUCAAGUAUGUACUUGUUGGCCAUCUGUAUGUUUUCUAUUGAAAAACAUCUACUCAAAUCUUCAGCACAUUUU